rnacentral:rRNA from 1 species
UACGUAGGGUGCGAGCGUUGUCCGGAAUUAUUGGGCGUAAAGGGCUCGUAGGCGGUUUGUCGCGUCGGGAGUGAAAACCAGGUGCUUAACACCUGGCUUGCUUUCGAUACGGGCAGACUAGAGGUAUUCAGGGGAGAACGGAAUUCCUGGUGUAGCGGUGAAAUGCGCAGAUAUCAGGAAGAACACCAAUGGCGAAAGCAGCUCUCUGGGACGGUACUGACGCUGAGACGCGAAAGCGUGGGGAGCGAACAGG